CGGGGCUGCGCGGGGCCGGGCUCACCGGGCGGGCUGCGGUGAGUGGGGCCGGCCGAGGGCUCCUCCCCCCGCCCGUGUACGGAGCCCGGGAGCCCGCGCCCGCCCACCCGCCCCGCAGCGGCCGGGCUCCUGGGCCAGCGCGGCGAGGCCUCGGCUGUCCUUGCCGGAAGGUGAGACCGUCGUCCCCCAGGCACGUGGAGGACGGGAGACGUGCCUCCUCUGGAAGGUGCGGAAAACGAACGCCACUCACCCGUGCGGGGCCCACCAGACCAAGAAAUGAGGACGGGCCAACAAAGAUGCUGUCCUGCAGUGUGUGCGCCAGAGUGACCAAGUGACCACCUCAUGCCAGAUCUUCAUCCAUAUCCGCCCACUGACUGUUUAUGAUUCCAAGUAGCUGUGGUUCAGGAUGGAACAGACUUCACCAGGAUGAUCAAAUGAAGCCCUACCAUCAGCAUCCACCCAAGAGCAUGUCUGCUAGCGUGUAGACCGUGUGCUGGGAACUAUGUGUGUAUGCAGCGGGGUUCAGCUCACAGGGCUCCCUCACCCCUUCUUAGGAAACUCCCAAAUAAGGCACUUUCCCUCUUAUGUCUGGAGUGAGAGGGUUGGAGCGGGGCAGAGAGGAGAGGGCACUUAUCCCACAGCCACUUGUGAGCAUAUCACGGUUUACUCAACCCAUAUCUUUUCAUUCAGCAGCCAGUGCACUCAGGCAGUAUACCCAGACUGCCUGUGCCAAGUUGUGUUGACAGCACAUGGGAGAAUAAAAAGAAACAGAAGACAAUGGUUCCUCCUAUGGGGGGGUGCAUGUGGUAACACAUGGAGAGGGGACUUGAGCUUGCAAAGCCACCAGACAUCAACCAAAAGUGAUACGUGAAAAUGUGCUGAC
rnacentral:lncRNA from 1 species